AUAAACUUAUAUUGCCAUUUUCACUUGAUUUUGAAAUCAGUUCGCAUAACUUCAUCAUGAAAUCUUUCAUUAAUUUUUUUUCUUCUGACUGCUAAACUUUAGUUCUAAUUUGAAGUUGUUGGCUUGGACGUAUGCUUUCAUUUAAUCUUUAUGGCUCAAACAUGCUUCCCACAGUAUUCAUUCUCUUCAUCAUUCUUUUAGGAUGGUUUUAGUUUUGGCCUCAAGCGAGCUUCUUCCUUCUCCAAAGUGUUUGUGUGUAAGAGUGUAAAGUAAAUUACAUAAUUCAAUAUUUCGAGUGCAAAUGAGUUGAUAAACAAUCCAAGAUAAGCACAUCUCAGAGUUCAAGUGCCUUCUGUGUUGAUCAAGUGCAGAACUUAGAACAAAAAUUCUCUUUAAAUAGUUCUCACUCCAAAAUAAGCACAUUUCAAAAUUGUGGAAUCAUUGUAACAGUUGAGAGAAUAGUUUGAGAAUGGUCAUAAUCCGUCGAGUUGUGAGACAAUAGCGUCUGUUAUUGUUAGUGUUAUUAUAUUCCAUUUUAUGGAUAAAUAUUUUAACCAAUUCAUGUAUUAGAAUCUGUUAACUGCUUUAUAUGCUCUUACUUUUCAAGAAAUAUUCUUCAUUUUCUUCCAAAGUUCAGUUAGAUAGUCAUUACUUUUUUUUAUAGGGGGAAACAAUCGCGCUUUCAUUGAGAUGGAAAGAAUACAAACCAAAUCCACAAAAACUCCACUAAAGAAAGUUCUUCCCUGAUGGGGUUACUCAGUCCAUGCCAAGCAACAGAGACGAGCAUACAGAUAUGAGAGAUGGCGUUUCACAAGAUUAAGCUAAACAAUUUUUUUUCUAGAAUCAUAGGAAAGCCUGAGCAGGUUUUCCUUACCAUUAUUACUUUAACUACCUCGUUCUCUGUAUUGUAAAGAAAUCCUUAAUAUUUGUUUGUCAUUUGCACAUUGAAUUGGACCAGAUUGGGGUUAAUUAGAUUUUGGGGGUGAAAAUCGAAUUUAAUUAAGGAAAA